UACAGAGGGUGCGAGCGUUGUCCGGAAUCACUGGGCGUAAAGGGCGCGUAGGUGGUGGCUUAAGCGUGCGGUGAAAGCUCGGGGCUCAACCCCGAGUCGGCCGUGCGAACUGGGCUCACUGGAGCAUAGUAGAGGCAGGUGGAAUUCCGGGUGUAGCGGUGGAAUGCGUAGAGAUCCGGAAGAACACCGGUGGCGAAGGCGGCUCUCUGGGACGGUACUGACGCUGAGACGCGAAAGCGUGGGGAGCGAACAGG
rnacentral:rRNA from 1 species